rnacentral:lncRNA from 1 species
UGUCAAUUUAACACAUUACCAGUACCAGUUUAUGAUCUUUUUGCCAAGAAUUUAACCUGGUGGGCACCCACAUACACAGGGGACUAUAUUUUCCCCAAAGAUAACACACACAGGUAGCCACACAUAUCCUAAAAGGAGAACUCCUUAAGGUGAGUUCACAAAUUCAGAAUGAUUUAGCCCAUCAUUGGUACAAUGCUUUACUGGUUGGUCCCCUACUGGAUCCCAGAUAAUGAAAUCAUUCUUCUAUCCUUUUGUUAUUAUAGUCCUGAUUUUAUUGUGUAUGAUUUUAUAUAACUGUCAUCUUGUUUGUACAUUGAGGAAGAGAGUACAGAAAUUAAUCCAUAAUGCAGAACAGAAACAAUUAGAAAUUCUCCUCUCUGCCACUGGAGGGUAUCAACCCAUCUUUAAACUGGGCCUUAGGAAUUACCACAUGGGAAUCGAGGUGAAGAAAUUAAUGAAAGUCCCGCAGGGAGUGACUAGCACCCCUGAAAAUACCAUGUGGAGUUUCUCUGUCCUGGUAAGAUUUUAUCGAUAAGAUGAGCAAUUGUUUUAUUGCUCAAAGAGGGGAAUGUAAGAAUAUUAAAUAGUUAACUUGUUUAUAUGUAUUUUAUGCUUUUAUAAGGUUUAUAACAUGAUUAUUGCUGACUGAAGGGAUAUUGAAUACUUAAAGUCAAUGUACGACAUAAUAUGCUGACUGUGACAGACUAAGGUAUUUCUUCUAUAGGAUGUAAGACAAUGCUAAAUUUCAGGAUGUCUUGCCCAUUCCGAUUUUAAGGAUAUUCUUUUCCAGACGUAUGCAAAAGCUUAUCUUUCCAUUGUCAGAAUAACGUAAUAUAAGGAAGUAAUAAAUCUUAUAGUCUGUACUGUAUUUGCAUAUACCAUGGCUAAUGUAAGCAAACUAUGUAUAAAAGCCAGCUCUGG